rnacentral:rRNA from 1 species
CGCUGGCGGCGUGCCUAAUACAUACAAGUCGAACGCACUCUCGUUUAGAUUGAAGGAGCUUGCUCCUGAUUGAUAAACAUUUGAGUGAGUGGCGGACGGGUGAGUAACACGUGGGUAACCUGCCCUAAAGUGGGGGAUAACAUUUGGAAACAGAUGCUAAUACCGCAUAAAACCUAACACCGCAUGGUGUAGGUUGAAAGAUGGUUUCGGCUAUCACUUUAGGAUGGACCCGCGGUGCAUUAGUUAGUUGGUGAGGUAAAGGCUCACCAAGACCGUGAUGCAUAGCCGACCUGAGAGGGUAAUCGGCCACACUGGGACUGAGACACGGCCCAGACUCCUACGGAGGCAGCAGUAGGGAAUCUUCCACAAUGGACGAAAGUCUGAUGGAGCAACGCCGCGUGAGUGAAGAAGGUUUUCGGAUCGUAAAACUCUGUUGUUGGAGAAGAAUGUAUCUGAUAGUAACUGAUCAGGUAGUGACGGUAUCCAACCAGAAAGCCACGGCUAACUACGUG